CCCUCUUCACCAGAUGGGAGAAGGAAAAGAAAUGACAAAGGUGAGCUAGAGAAGACGAACGACCGUCGUAGUUUCCGGAGAGCGCAAACCGGCAAAAUUAAACCAAACCUCUCCCUCUCGUUUUAAUAUUACUAUCAAUCUCCCCUUGAUGUAGAGAAGGCAUGUCCAUAGGUUGGAGUUUCUUUUUCGUCAAGCAAUUGAGAAAAUCCACGAGAGGGAAUGCUCUACAGGAUUUGUGAAGAAAGCUAGCCGAAAUUUUGGUCCAAAGGCGGAGAUAUAAGAGUCCUUCCAAGAACGGAGUAGAGAGAGACGGAUUCGACAAGCCACAUGUCGAUCGGCGAGUGGAACUGUGUGUACCAUCAGGUGGAGGACAUGCAUUAGGCGUCGGGUGGAGCCAUGCGUCGAAUGUCGCAUGGACCAUCACAACUCCACUCGAUUUGCAACAUGCGGCUUCUAUCGUAAUUCCGACCUGCAACCCGUUGGCACAACCAACCUGCGGUCCGACCCAAGUGAAUCGAACCAGCUGACCCGGCAUUUACAAAAUCGACCCGACCGCGCGCAAGAGCCCAACUCCACAGCUCGCGGCUCAGUGGCGUAUACAACCCAACUCAUAGACGCCCGCAACCUGCGCAACCCGAGGACGUGACCCGAAGUCCGCACCUCGACCCAGGACACACCUGGCAUACUCUCAUCUCUCUAGCGACACUGUUGUGCAUGCAGAUGUCAACUCCUUCGGUUCACACGGCUCGUCAACUCGACUUGGCUCCGUGGUGGCUCGACGCAACUUAUCGGCUGAAAACUCGGUUAUUCGGCUUACAUUACACAAUUUUAUACCAUUCCUUAUGUUUUCAACUCCAAAGCUGAAGUUGACCUUAAUUAAGGCAAUUGAGAUCAGUAUAGCGUCUUGUUUCCAAGUUUAAGGUGACUUAGGCUAGAAAUGUGAGAUAUUAACGUAAAUAAGAUGAACAUUCAAAUAGGACACAACUUCCAACAAAUACUUGGAGCAGCUUCGAGGGACGGAAUUCAACCAACCAACUCUCUGUGUGCGCGUACGUGUGUAAUAAGAUGUUUUUAAUUUAAAUGUU